AACGAACGCUGGCGGCAUGCCUAACACAUGCAAGUCGAACGAGACCUUCGGGUCUAGUGGCGCACGGGUGCGUAACGCGUGGGAAUCUGCCCCUUGGUUCGGAAUAACAGCGAGAAAUUGCUGCUAAUACCGGAUAAUGACGUAAGUCCAAAGAUUUAUCGCCAAGGGAUGAGCCCGCGUAGGAUUAGCUAGUUGGUGUGGUAAAGGCGCACCAAGGCGACGAUCCUUAGCUGGUCUGAGAGGAUGAUCAGCCACACUGGGACUGAGACACGGCCCAGACUCCUACGGGAGGCAGCAGUGGGGAAUAUUGGACAAUGGGCGAAAGACCUGAUCCAGCAAUGCCGCGUGAGUGAU
rnacentral:rRNA from 1 species